rnacentral:rRNA from 1 species
CGGCGAGCGAACGGGGACCAGCCAAGCCAUGAGAGUGAAUAGAAUGUGCUGGAAAGCACAGCCAUAGCGGGUGACAGCCCCGUAUAUGAAGCUCGAUUGGAUGUAUUAAGUAGGGCGGGACACGUGAAAUCCUGUCUGAAGAUCGGAGGACCACCUUCGAAGGCUAAGUACUCCUUACUGACCGAUAGCGAACCAGUACCGUGAGGGAAAGGUGAAAAGCACCCCGACGAGGGGAGUGAAACAGUUUCUGAAACCGGACGCCUACAAGCAGUCGGAGCCUCCUUGAGAGGUGACGGCGUACCUUUUGUAUAAUGGGUCAUCGACUUGGUCUAUCUAGCAAGCUUAAGCCGUUAGGUGUAGGCGCAGCGAAAGCGAGUCUUAAUAGGGCGCAUGAGUUAGAUGGAUCAGACCCGAAACCGAGUGAUCUAGGCAUGAUCAGGAUGAAGGUAAGGUAACACUUACUGGAGGUCCGAACCCACACCUGUUGAAAAAGGUCGGGAUGAAUUGUGCCUAGGGGUGAAAGGCCAAUCAAACUCGGAGAUAGCUGGUUCUCC